UACGUAGGGUGCGAGCGUUAAUCGGAAUUACUGGGCGUAAAGCGUGCGCAGGCGGUUUGUUAAGACAGAUGUGAAAUCCCCGGGCUUAACCUGGGAAUUGCAUUUGUGACUGCACGGCUAGAGUGUGUCAGAGGGGGGGUAGAAUUCCACGUGUAGCAGUGAAAUGCGUAGAUAUGUGGAGGAAUACCGAUGGCGAAGGCAGCCCCCUGGGAUAACACUGACGCUCAUGCACGAAAGCGUGGGGAGCAAACAGG
rnacentral:rRNA from 1 species